rnacentral:lncRNA from 1 species
AAAGUUCAGACUUGACCAGCUAUUUAUUUAUUUUAUUUAUUGCCUUUCUCCUACAGCAUCCAUGGCGGCUGACAGUAUUAAAAGAAACAAAGUCAAAAACUAAAUAAUAAAUUAUUACAAUAUUUUAAAAAGCAUUAAAUAGAUAUAAUAUCAAAGCGCAUAAGAACAAUAUUGAAAGCACAAGUAAAACAGAGAAUAAAAUGAUCCGUUAGAAAAAAUCCCCGAGUUCUAUCAGUUAUUUAAAAGAAAGCCUGCUUGAAGUAGGACAAAGUGCCACAUUAGCCCCAUAAUAAUCACAAGUGCACCUGUCCCCAGCCCGCCUCUGCUCAGGCUUCCUUUCUCUUCAAGUGAAGCCAGGACUUGCAGCUGUAAAAGGCGGGCUUUUCAGCCACACACAGGCACUCCACCCCUACAGUCCCUCCCCCGUUUCUCUUUCACGUUCAGUUUUAUCUUCCCUUGGCUUCCUUUCUUCUUCAGAGACGAAUAUUUAACGCAGAAGCAAACUACUACUGCUGCUGUGAGGUUGGUUUGUUUUGAAAACUCAGGUGGUCUCUCCCUCAUGCAAGCCACAGAAGGGACUCUCCCAGAAGAGGUGGGGAAGGUUUUUGAAGAUGUUGAAGAUUACCUAGAAAUAUUGCAGACUGAGAACCUUAGUGCUAAAGCGAGGCUGCAAAAGGAUGAAAUCUUGUCUGAUAUUAAGCAACUUAAAGAAAGGGGUUCCAGCCAGAUUUUCUCCAACACAAGAUGGCUCUGAUGACAGCCAGACCAGGAGUUUCAUCCCAUCUGCAACAACAGGGGCAUUGCUUGCACACAACAACCUCGAAAAUG